UACGGAGGAUGCAAGCGUUAUCCGGAUUUACUGGGUGUAAAGGGUGCGUAGGCGGCCGGGUAAGUCAGAUGUGAAAUUUAGAGGCUCAACCCCUGAACUGCAUUUGAAACUAUUCGGCUUGAGUGAAGUAGAGGCAGGCGGAAUUCCCUGUGUAGCGGUGAAAUGCGUAGAGAUAGGGAGGAACACCAGUGGCGAAGGCGGCCUGCUGGGCUUUAACUGACGCUGAGGCACGAAAGCGUGGGUAGCAAAC
rnacentral:rRNA from 1 species